rnacentral:misc_RNA from 1 species
GUCUGCGUCUGUGUGUGUGUGUGUAUGUGCUCUGCGCAGACGUUCAUCUUCCUCUGGAGUUAUGCUUUCGGCUUGCGCGCGCGCGCCUGCUGGAGCGUGUUGCUUUCUCGCCCGCUCCGUUCACACGCACGCAAAGAAGCAAGUCAAGGCGAGGAUGCCGUCACACAGGCCGGAGCGAAGAGUGCACACAGAAAUGACGGUCCUGCGCUAUUAUGCAUGGGCGCCCGCGCACGUCACACAAACGCUCGCGCACGACGACUAUGGACACACUCAACAGGAGGCAUAGAGCCCUGUACACGCUCGCACACGCGCUGGAAGACGCGGAAGCGAGGCUGAAGAUUGGUGUCGGUGGAGGCGACCAUGAAAGCCGUUGCGCAUCCAUGGAGGCUUGUGACUCUCAUCCUCUACGGGCGGACGGCACGGUUGGAGGCACGAGCUCACACGCACUCUCUCUGCGCAUUUUUCAUGACGUAGACAAGGCACCCUACUCCGCUUGCGUCUGCAGUUGUGUACCUCUUGAGCAAGUGGCAGUGGAAGGGGGCUACAUCUUGGCGCUGCGCCCCACCCACUCACACCCGCUCUUGCGUCGCGCCAUGCAUUACUCCUCAGCCGCCGCCCUACUUCUCGCUCACCUUCUCUGCCACAUGCCUACACGCUCAG